UAUGUGAUCGUCUCUCGCAUAUCAAUAAGCGGAGGAAAAGAAACUAUCAAGGAUUCCCCUAGUAACGGCGAGUGAAGCGGGAAGAGCUCAAACUUGAAAUCUUAAAGGGUUUCCCUUUACGAAUUGUAGUUUAAAGAAGUGUUUUCUGUUGAGGUUUUGGUAAAAGUUCUUUGGAAUAGGACAUCAUAGAGGGUGAGAAUCCCGUAUUUGACCUUUACUUUCAACUUUGUGAUACACUUUCAAAGAGUCGGAUUGUUUGGGAAUGCAGUCCAAAAUGGGUGGUAAAUUUCAUCUAAAGCUAAAUAUUGGCGAGAGACCGAUAGCGAACAAGUACCGUGAGGGAAAGAUGAAAAGAACUUUGAAAAGAGAGUUAAACAGUACGUGAAAUUGUCAAAAGGGAAGCGUUUGACACCAGUGUUGUUUUUCUGAAAAUCAAUUAAAGAACUGUUUAUGCUAAGUUGUUUAGACUUUAUCAGCUAACUGUUUAGUUUUGAGCUUUUCUUUAAUGCACUUUUCAGUUAACAAGUCAACAUCAAUUUCUUUUGCUGUAAAAAAGCUUGAGGAAGGUGGCUUGAGAUUCGUCUUAAGUGUUUAUAGCCUCUUGCCUAUGCAGUCGGAGAGAUUGAGGUCUGCAGCGUAGAUCCUUCGGGGCUAAAUGCAUUUGUGCUAAGUUAUAGCAUUUUAUAGACAACUUGUUGACUAUGAUUUGUCUUGUAGCUUACUCGCUUAUGUUAUUUUACCUACGCUUAGGAUGUUGAAGUCAUCGUAUCGCGC
rnacentral:rRNA from 1 species